CCUACGGGCGGCUGCAGUGGGGAAUAUUGGGCAAUGGGCGCAAGCCUGACCCAGCAACGCCGCGUGAAGGAAGAAGGCUUUCGGGUUGUAAACUUCUUUUCUCAGGGACGAAGAAAGUGACGGUACCUGAGGAAUCAGCCACGGCUAACUACGUGCCAGCAGCCGCGGUAAUACGUAGGUGGCAAGCGUUAUCCGGAUUUAGUGGGUGCAAAGGGUGAGUAGGCGGGUGCGCAAGUCAGAUGUGAAAGCUCAGGGCUCAACCCUGAGACUGCAUUUGAAACUGAUUUUCUUGAGUGCAGGAGAGGCAAGCGGAAUUCCGGGUGUAGCGGUGAAAUGCGUAGAUAUACGGAGGAACACCAGUGGCGAAGGCGGAUUGCUGGACAGUAACUGACGCUGAGGCGCGAAAGCGUGGGGAGCAAACAGGAUUAGAUACCCCAGUAGUC
rnacentral:rRNA from 1 species